CCUACGGGAGGCAGCAGUGAGGAAUAUUGGUCAAUGGGCGAGAGCCUGAACCAGCCAUGCCGCGUGCAGGAAGACGGCCCUACGGGUUGUAAACUGCUUUUCUGCGGGAAGAACGGCCCCGACGCGAUCGGGGUGUGACGGUACCGCAGGAAUAAGGAUCGGCUAACUCCGUGCCAGCAGCCGCGGUAAUACGGAGGAUCCGAGCGUUAUCCGGAUUUACUGGGUUUAAAGGGUGCGUAGGCGGCUCCCUCAGUCAGCGGUGAAAUGUGCAGGCUCAACCUGCAACCGGCCGUUGAUACUGGGGAGCUUGAGUUGGGUUGAGGCAGGCGGAAUGUGCGGUGUAGCGGUGAAAUGCAUAGAUAUCGCACAGAACGCCGAUUGCGUAGGCAGCUUGCCAAGCCCACACUGACGCUGAGGCACGAAAGCGUGGGGAUCAAACAGGAUUAGAUACCCUGGUAGUCCACGCCGUAAACGAUGAUCACUCGCUGUUGGCGAUACACAGCCAGCGGCCAAGCGAAAGCGAUAAGUGAUCCACCUGGGGAGUACGGCCGCAAGGCUGAAACUCAAAGGAAUUGACGG
rnacentral:rRNA from 1 species